rnacentral:rRNA from 1 species
GGCGAACGGGUGAGUAACACGUGGGUGAUCUGCCCUGCACUUCGGGAUAAGCUUGGGAAACUGGGUCUAAUACCGGAUAGGAGCCAUCUUUAGUGUGGUGGUUGGAAGUUUUUAGGUGUAGGAUGAGCUCGCGGCCUAUCAGCUUGUUGGUGGGGUAAUGGCCUACCAAGGCGGCGACGGGUAGCCGGCCUGAGAGGGUGUACGGCCACAUUGGGACUGAGAUACGGCCCAG